AUGCCUUAAACUUAUGAAUAAGGAAAAUAACCAACCGGGGUGACGCCCGGGUCCUCACUGCUGUUGUGUGCCCUGGUGGCGCAGUGGCAGGAAUGCCGC
rnacentral:snRNA from 1 species